rnacentral:rRNA from 1 species
AGUGAACGCUGGCGGUAGGCCUAACACAUGCAAGUCGAACGGCAGCACAGUAAGAGCUUGCUCUUACGGGUGGCGAGUGGCGGACGGGUGAGGAAUACAUCGGAAUCUACUUUUUCGUGGGGGAUAACGUAGGGAAACUUACGCUAAUACCGCAUACGACCUACGGGUGAAAGCAGGGGAUCUUCGGACCUUGCGCGAUUGAAUGAGCCGAUGUCGGAUUAGCUAGUUGGCGGGGUAAAGGCCCACCAAGGCGACGAUCCGUAGCUGGUCUGAGAGGAUGAUCAGCCACACUGGAACUGAGACACGCGCCAGACUCCUACGGGAGGCAGCAGUGGGGAAUAUUGGACAAUGGGCGCAAGCCUGAUCCAGCCAUACCGCGUGGGUGAAGAAGGCCUUCGGGUUGUAAAGCCCUUUUGUUGGGAAAGAAAAGCAGCAGGUUAAUACCCCGCUGUUCUGACGGUACCCAAAGAAUAAGCACCGGCUAACUUCG